rnacentral:rRNA from 1 species
GGCGGCAGGCCUAACACAUGCAAGUCGAGCGGAAACGAGUUAUCUGAACCUUCGGGGGACGAUAACGGCGUCGAGCGGCGGACGGGUGAGUAAUGCCUAGGAAAUUGCCCUGAUGUGGGGGAUAACCAUUGGAAACGAUGGCUAAUACCGCAUAAUGCCUACGGGCCAAAGAGGGGGACCUUCGGGCCUCUCGCGUCAGGAUAUGCCUAGGUGGGAUUAGCUAGUUGGUGAGGUAAUGGCUCACCAAGGCGACGAUCCCUAGCUGGUCUGAGAGGAUGAUCAGCCACACUGGAACUGAGACACGGUCCAGACUCCUACGGGAGGCAGCAGUGGGGAAUAUUGCACAAUGGGCGCAAGCCUGAUGCAGCCAUGCCGCGUGUGUGAAGAAGGCCUUCGGGUUGUAAAGCACUUUCAGUCGUGAGGAAGGUGGUGUAGUUAAUAGCUGCAUUAUUUGACGUUAGCGACAGAAGAAGCACCGGCUAAC